rnacentral:rRNA from 1 species
GAUGAACGCUGGCGGCGUGCCUAAUACAUGCAGGUCGAGCGAAUGGAUUAAGAGCUUGCUCUUAUGAAGUUAGCGGCGGACGGGUGAGUAACACGUGGGUAACCUGCCCAUAAGACUGGGAUAACUCCGGGAAACCGGGGCUAAUACCGGAUAACAUUUUGAACCGCAUGGUUCGAAAUUGAAAGGCGGCUUCGGCUGUCACUUAUGGAUGGACCCGCGUCGCAUUAGCUAGUUGGUGAGGUAACGGCUCACCAAGGCAGCGAUGCGUAGCCGACCUGAGAGGGUGAUCGGCCACACUGGGACUGAGACACGGCUCAGACUCCUACGGGAGGCAGCAGUAGGGAAUCUUCCGCAAUGGACGAAAGUCUGACGGAGCAACGCCGCGUGAGUGAUGAAGGCUUUCGGGUCGUAAAGCUCUGUUGUUAGGGAAGAACAAGUGCUAGUUGAAUAAGCUGGCACCUUGACGGUACCUAACCAGAAAGCCACGGCUAACUACGUGCCAGCAGCCGCCGUAA